AUAGUUGAGCUGAUUAACUAUAACUAUUUUUACUGUAACUCUUUCACUACUCCUAUCUAUAUUAAAGUAUUAGAGCCCACAUUCACUUAUUCACGCCUAUAUAAUUUUGGGAGUAUUUCAGAUAAACAUUCUCCUUUCUUUCAGUGCAAUCAGCAAAUUUACUUGAAACAAAAUAUUCCCACCUACCCAAAUAAUUCAUCCAAUUAAUUGCUGAUACUGCUUUUGAUCCAGCAGAAGACCCAUAAAUCUUACAUUUAACUUGAUAACUAAAUUUUCCCAUUUUACUGUCCCUUUACUGUUUUUUCAAGGAAGAAUAUUGAAGCUAAGCAAUAACAAAUUCCAAAUCUCCUCUGGCAUUGGCAGCAAUUCCCUUCUUCAGUGUGAAUGGCAGAUGCUAAGUCAUUUCAGAAAAGGGAAGGAUACAAGCUGGCCAGUCCCUCUCCUCUGAAGUCUGAGGAACUAAUGCUACACAUACUACAGCACAAUGAUAAUUCUGUCAGCAGUCUCAAUCCAACAUGCCUUUGGAUCCUUGCUGCAUUGUUCUCCCCAGCAGUCACUAUCAUUCCUCUCUCCAGGUUCACCCUACAGCCUUAAAUUUUGCAACAGAUAAAGGACAUGGUGAGUAAACGCUGUCAAACAUACUGUUGGUACACGUAUCAAAAACGUACAUCUUUGGUAAGUUUGCUUAGGUUUAGUGCAUCCAGUUGCUGUAUUUUGUGUACCAUAAACUUUACUACUAAUAUGCAAAAUACUUUUCUAAUGCUGAUGUAGAUGUUUCAUGUGCUUUAGAAUACCUGUAAUAUUUUCUGGGACCUGUGCCAAAGUUAAGAUUGUAACCUGCAUCAACUAUCACACUACUAGCAGAUAUCACAAAAUGGUAGUUCUAAGCAUUGGAGUUCACAUACUUCUUUUUAUUCUUUAAAAAACCCAAAAAACAACAGCCAGAAGUAAGAUAAGACAUUUUAUUCUGACAAUUUGGACAGUAGCAUAGCAAAUGAAUUAAGUAACACACUCGAUGGAAAGAUGUAAUGGCAAAAGGGCUCUGCACUUAUACUUCACUCCUUCACCAUUCCAGCCAUCCAAGGCUUUGCUAAAGAGUUCAGUCAUGCUGAGCUGAAUGUGGAGUUUCACAUCAGCACCACUGCAGCAGUCACUAGAACAUGCUGUGCCACAUUCAGAGCAUCCUUGGUAAUACUUCUUUCUCAGAAAACUGCAUGGCAUGAUUUCAGGACUGUUCCCUAGCAUAAUCCAUUACAGUCUCCCAGCAGCAUUAUUCCCUUUCAGUGCUAUUCACACAACCAUUUUAUGUAGCUUCCUGUUACAGGUCUGCAGUCUCAUCAGCACCUCAUCCUUACUGGAAAAAGGGAGCUGGUCACAGACUCUCAGAGACUGGAAACCUCACCAUGUGCAAGACUAGGGAUUUGAUGUUUUUCUCCUUUUGUUACUUUAUAGUCCUUUAAGGUCAUUAUUACCCAAUGCAAUGGAGGCAAACCCACAGAAUACAAAGAAACUAAACCCAUACAGAACAACAAGAAAAAGGAAAGCAUUUCCACAGUCAGGCUCAUUUCGAUGCCAGCUGCUCUGCUUUUCUACCACGCCAUGUCACCUACCUACACCCAGUCUUUCAACUACAGAAGCAAAGAAUCAACUACCAACAGCUCCCAACUUCUCCUUUAGAGCCGUUCUAGUACCCUGCAGUGUGCAAUCUGUGAGAGCACAAUUAUCCCACAAGUGGCUCAUUCCACCUUCUGGGAGGGUGAGCGCACUGGUUCAUGCUGUUCUUCUUUCUGUCACUGCUGUACUUCCUUUUUCCUGCAGUAAUUUACAGUAGCAGUGGGAUGAUACAACUCACAAGCACAGUAAGCAUUACCCAAAAUGGAGAAAAUCCUGAGCUGUCUUUUGAACAGUACAUCAGAAAGAACAAAAAAACCUAUAUAAUAAUAGGGAUUUAGGAAGGUUACAGUUUGUCACUAAUGGAAACAAAAUGGCUUCAUGUUACAAGAAAUACAGGAAAAAUUCUAAAAUAGAAAUCUUGCUUGAGGACUGAUCACAUUCCGUGUCUCCUACAGGGAAGGCUACAUCCUUGCUAAGCAAAGCACACACAGUAUGGAAUUCAGGUUCCUUUUAUUUUUUUUUUUUUUUGACAUGUAAGGCUUACUAUGCAGCAGAGUGAGCGCCAUCAAUGAUGUACUUGUGCCUGUCCAAAUCUCAUAACCUCUACAUUUAACAUCUGAAGUUUCCAGGAAUCAGUACUGUGGAUGAUGACACUGCUGCUGUGCAGGGCAAGAUCUGCCACAUGCAGAGAGAGACAAGCUGUUAUUUUGCCGCUUUAAAUGGUAAUUUUAAUCUGCUGCAGCAUUAGUGUUCUUCAGCUGCUGGUUCAAGUAUUGUCUAGAAUAGGAAGGUCAGACAGUUUAUUUUAAAUUCCUCAGCAGCAGAGCUUGGUCAACAGCUCUAAAAGCACUUGGAUCAACCAGAAGCCCUAACCAUGAGGUACACCCUGUCAUCAGGCCUGUCUUGGGGAUGUUAAUUUCAGCUGCAGUUUACAAUGGGCAAGGUCUAUUAGAAAGCCUCAGUGUUGGCAUAGACCAGAAGAAAUCUGUGUGAUUAUCCACCUACAAGCCCUCCCUUACCAGCUCUGUGGGAGAAAACACAGCUUCUGGAAAUACCAUCAAAUUCCAACAGCUAUCCUUCCUCCAUUGCAGUGAAUCUUGCUAACCACUUUUAAGACCAGGUGUCUCUCAUCUCUGUUUUUUACAAUGCCUGUUCUGAACACUCUCUGUUACUAGCAUUUCACUCCAGCCUCUUCCCAUAUGGCUUUGACGAGUUCUAAGCAGAAAUAAAGGAAACGCUUGCAUGUUUUAAUAA